rnacentral:rRNA from 1 species
CCUACGGGUGGCAGCAGUGAGGAAUAUUGGUCAAUGGGCGGAAGCCUGAACCAGCCAAGUAGCGUGCAGGAUGACGGCCCUACGGGUUGUAAACUGCUUUUAUACGGGGAUAACGUGCCUCACGUGUAGGGUUUUGCAUGUACCGCAUGAAUAAGGACCGGCUAAUUCCGUGCCAGCAGCCGCGGUAAUACGGAAGGUCCGGGCGUUAUCCGGAUUUAUUGGGUUUAAAGGGAGCGUAGGCCGCAUGUUAAGCGUGCCGUGAAAUGCCAGGGCUCAACCCGGGCCUUGCGGCGCGAACUGGCGUGCUUGAGUGCGCGGAACGCAGGCGGAAUUCGUGGUGUAGCGGUGAAAUGCUUAGAUAUGACGAAGAACCCCGAUUGCGAAGGCAGCAUGCGGCAGCGGAACUGACGCUGAUGCUCGAAGGCGCGGGUAUCGAACAGGAUUAGAUACCCGUGUAGUC